rnacentral:rRNA from 1 species
UACGGAGGGUGCAAACGUUGCUCGGAAUCAUUGGGCGUAAAGCGCGCGUAGGCGGCUUUGCAAGUCGGGUGUGAAAUCCCCAGGCUUAACCUGGGAACUGCAUUCGAGACUGCAUUGCUAGAGUAUGGGAGAGGGAAGUGGAAUUCCCGGUGUAGUGGUGAAAUGCGUAGAUAUCGGGAGGAACACCAGUGGCGAAGGCGACUUCCUGGCCUGUUCUUGACGCUGAGGCGCGAAAGCUAGGGGAGCAAACGGGG